UUUGCUACUCCUAAAGUUGAAGCUUCUCUGAGAGAUUCUAUUAGUUCAAUGCUGAAAUCUUAGGCACAUACCACAAACCUUUCAACAGUAGCUGUUUUUAAUCUGAAUAAGAAGGAGAGAGUUAAGGAAGAACCGAUAUUCCAGAGCCUGAUCUAAUUGUUCCAUAUGCAGGUAUUUUACAGUUCUAAAUGUUCAAAGACGAAUAAUAUUUUUUAAUAAUUAAUAAUUGUAUUGUUCCAAACACAUUUUCUAUACCAUCUACACAAUCUUGUCACACUACUCACAAAUCAAAAUUAAUAGCGGAUCUGAGAAGCCUGUGCCUUGAUGACCCAAGUUCCAAAUGAUUCCUGGUUUUUCAUGAAGGCCUACUUUGUUUGUUUGUUUUUAAUUUGUAUAUAAUGAGUGGACAGAGUGUGGCUGAUGUGGGGUGUGAGUCACCUCAAUGUUGUUUCUGGCCUGGCUAGACAAGCAGGGAGAGAACAAACAGGCAAAUAAAUAUUGCUGUGUCAAUGCUAAUGUUGAUUGUUGCCUGGCUACUAACGACUAAAACCAGCCAUAUUAGCUAAGCCUCAGUGGAAGCACAGGUGUAGCAGGUUGGUAAACUGAUCCAUAAAUCACAGCAGGGCAGGGGGCAAAUCCUACACAGGAAAGCCCAAAAGCUAAGGAGAGAGAGGAUUAAUUAGGGCUGAUUCACAAGCAAGUUAUCAUACCUACCAUCAUUGUUAUUUUCAGCCUGGUACUCUAUUUACAAAACUACUUGUGUUGCUUUUAGCCUUUUCAUCCUGGCGGGAAGGACUACCAUACAUUCUUCCUUCUGAAUCAGGUUGGUCUACAUGAUAAUUUUCUUGUCUCCAGACUUUAAGAAAGGGAAAAGAAAGCAAUUAUCUUCACUCAACUGGCAUGAAUUUAAAGGUUCUUUAAGCUAGCUGUCCAACUGCUCUGCCUGUCCACACAGCUUUCCAAGACAAGCAAACCGAAGAUCGGAUGCUUAGUGCUGUACCAGCAUGUAUCUAGAGACCUACAAAAAAAGUAAGCUUGAAAAAUAAACAUAGGUUUUUCCUUCUAUUGCAGCUUCCUAAUCAAGAAACCUGAAAAGUUCCAAUAUGUAUAAGGCAUUAUAAAUCAAUUAACCAAAAUAGAAAAGUUAUAUGCUAAAAAGCUAGCUAGAAAUCUCUUCCUUGCUCUGCUUCUACUCACCAAACAAUAAACAAUGUUCUAGGGCUGAUGAAACUCUACUAAGAGAUCACCACUCUGGUUUUGAAUCCUGUGAGUGGACAAGCACAGCCUCACAGGGUACCCUGAGUUCUGUAUAUAACCUGCUCUUUGGGUUACUCUGCUAAGGCACGCUGGUUUAGUGGGCUGAUUCUGGAAUAAAGAGAGGGGAGAAAACUCUUUUUUCAAGGUGUUCUCUGCUUUUGCCUUCCUCACAAGAACUUGUGUAAAUAAAGAACAGGCAAUCUGAUGCAGAGCUAUGGCAGGCUAUGUCAUUAGGAGUGGAAUAAGCAUCUCAGGUAAGCAAAAUGGUACAUGAGGAUGGGCCUUUAAGUACUGUGUGUUGAAAAAUCCUUCUAUGUGAAGGCCUUGCUCUGCUUUCAAAACAAGUUAUUUGCUCUUAUCUUUAGUUUUGUCAGUACUUCCCACUGGCCAUAGAUUCUCUUGUGGGAAGAAUGCCAGGGAGUGGAUCUUGGUAGAAUAUGGUAUAAGCAUGGCUGAUUCACAGGCUCACAGCCAGAGCUGGGAGAAGAAUGUGGAACUCCAUGCAGAGGAGGCUGUGGCACAAGGUCGGUCAUCCAGGAGCACACACACCACCCAGAACUGCAGGGAACAGAAAACAAUGCAAAGGGACUCUGGAGAGGUGGGGGAGCCCAUGGACACACAUGACUAGCUCAAUAACCAGUUUGUUACACGAAGCCAUCUAGCAUACCAUUCAAAUGAACAGCGCACAGCUUGGCCAUCAGACUCCAGCCGGACCCCAACAACAAGGCAAAUAAGAGAAACGGACAACUUGUAUCUAACUUAAC